UGCCAGCCGCCGCGGUAAUACGGAGGGAGCUAGCGUUGUUCGGAAUUACUGGGCGUAAAGAGAACGUAGGCGGCUAUCCAAGUCAGGGGUGAAAUCCCGGAGCUCAACCCCGGAACUGUCCUUGAAACUAGGUAGCUAGAAUUCUGGAGAGGUUAGUGGAAUUCCGAGUGUAGAGGUGAAAUUCGUAGAUAUUCGGAAGAACACCAGUGGCGAAGGCGACUGACUGGACAGAUAUUGACGCUGAGGUUCGAAAGCGUGGGGAGCAAACAGGAUUAGAUA
rnacentral:rRNA from 1 species